GAUGAAGAACGCAGCGAAAUGCGAUAAGUAAUGUGAAUUGCAGAAUUCAGUGAAUCAUCGAAUCUUUGAACGCACAUUGCGCCCGCCAGUAUUCUGGCGAGCAUGCCUGUUCGAGCGUCUUUUCAACCAUCAAGCCCCAGGCUUGUGUUGGAGCCCUGCGGCUGCCGCAGCCUCCCAAAACCAGUGGCGGGCUCGCUAUCACACCGAGUGCAGUAGUUUACUCUUCGCUCAGGGCGUGUGGCGGGUGCUAGCCGUGAAACCCCCAACUUCUCAAGGUUGACCUCGGAUCAGGUAGGAAUACCCGCUGAACUUAAGCAUAUCAAUAAGCGGAGGA
rnacentral:misc_RNA from 1 species